CGCUUGUAAAGCUUGUCAUAAGCCGGAAGAGACAUAAAUGUCACAAAUGGAGAGAAGGUGGACUCUUUUGCUCUGGCAUAAAUGUUUAUGAUCAUAAUGACAUUUUGAUUAGGUCCUAUUCAAGUAGAUUACAAUUGACCAUAAACUGCGCUGCGAAUACGAAGUCAUGUAAAUAAGAGACGAGUUAUUUUCGACACAGAAGACAAGCGGCGGCUCGCUGCAGCACAGUAGAGGUCCACUUGUGAUAUGGGAUUUCAUGUCUUUCUGUAUGUGCCUAAUGUAAUUGGUUAUAUCAGGAUUCUUCUUGUUCUCAUUUCAUGGAGCCUGUAUAGUUAUCCAGAGAGUUUUGUACCCUUGUAUGUGUUAUCAAUUAUAUUGGAUGGGGUGGAUGGCUGGGCGGCACGUCGGCUGCAGCAGACUUCCAGGUUCGGUGCUUGGCUGGAUGUGGUCAUUGACAACGUAGGACGUGGCAUGCUCUGGAACAUGCUUUAUGAUUGGGGCUGGCUGGUGUCUUCAGUUGAGUGGUGUGUAUUUGUGUGCAACCACAAUGCUAGAGGUGCUCAGUGGAAGAACACUUUUACAGAAAGCCCAGUUUGGGUGCAGGCAGUGAUGGCAAAAGGCUUCAAGACUCCUUUGGGCAUUCUGACAAUAGCAGGUCUCCAUGUUUUGCCCGUGUGGCUGUAUUGCUACCAGCAUGAGGUGCUGUCUCAGGCUUUCUAUGCCCCAAACUGGCUACAGAUUCUGGGGAUUCUGGUGCUGACAGCAGGACGCUUGCUGGGCUUUGCAGUUGAGAUGUGGUGCAUCGUAACCCAUCUGAAAUUCUUAUCGUUGGAUGAAGAGGAAGAAAAGAAGAACUAGGGAUCUCUAAAUGAUUCUUUAGGAUGUUGUAAGGGUUUCAGAUUGAAUUACUGCUCAUUGCAUGUGAAAAAACAUGUUAAAGGUAACUUAUGGAAAAUAUAAAUCAGUUACAGGGAGUAAAGUUGCAGGGAUAUAUUCCCUAGAAAACCUUAUAAAGUGAUAUAUAUUUAUGCCAGAGCCUUAAAACGCACAAGUGUUUAGGAAAGGAAGCUCUUUACACUACAAUAGUUACAUUGUUUCUGAUAUAAAAACUGCACAUAAUGUAUUUAUUUAGAAUUUAUUGUUUGGAACAGUAAAUAUAGCAGUAAAGCAUGCUGCUAGCAAGGGCAAGGUCAUGGCUUCGCUUGUCAAGAAAUGCGUGAGCUGAUCAAAUGUACACCUUGAAUGCAGUGAAAGUUGCUUUGGAAAAAAGCAUCUGGCAAAUGCAUAAAUGUAAUAUUUAAUGGCUUUUUAAUUUAAUUUUAAAUUUUAAAUUACAUAUAAACCUAAAAAAAACAUUAUAUAUAUAAUAUAUAUAUAUAUAUAUAUAUAUAUAUAUAUAUACACACACACACACACAAAUAUACUUAAAUACAUUUUAUUAACUGGUAAUAUAAUGUACACUACUAUUCAAAAUGUUGGGGUCAAUAAGUUUUUUUUUUGCAAUUUGAUAAAAAAAAUAAAGUAAAACAGUAAUAUUAUGAAAUAUUAUUACAAUUUCAAAUAACUGUUUUCUGUUUUAAUAUGUAAUUUAUUCCUGUGAGGGCAAAGCUGAAUUUCCAUUACUGUCACAUGAUCCUUCAGAAUCAUUUUAACAUGAUGAGUUGCUUUUUUUUAAGCCAAAAAUCAUUAGGAUAUUAAAGGGACAGUUCAUCCAAAAAUGAAAAUUCUGUCAUCAUUUACUCCCCCUCAAGUUGUUCCAAACCUGUAUAAAUUUAUUUGUUCUGUUGAACACAAAGGAAGAUAUUUUGAAGAAUGUGAGAAACUGAACAGUUCUGGGGCACCACUGACUUCCAUAGUAUUUAUUUUUCCUACUAUGGAAGUCAGUGGUGCCCCAAAGCAGCCUGGUUACAAACUUUCUUCAAAAUAUCUUCUUUUGUGUUCAGCAGAACAAAGAAAUUCAUACAGGUUUGGAACAACUUGAGGGUGAGUAAAUGACAGAAUUUUCAUUUUUGGGUGAACUAUCCCUUUAAGUAAAGAUCAUGUUCCAUGAAGAUAUUUUUGUAAAUUUCCUACCGUAAAUAUAUCACAAUUUAUUUUUGUGAGUGGAUAUGCGUUACUAAGGACUCCAUUUGGACAACUUUUUCCUCAAUAUUGAGAUUUUUUUUGCACCCUCAGAUUCAAGAUUUUCAAAUAGCCAAAUAUUUUCCUAUCCUAACAAACCAUACAUCAAUGGAAAGCUUAUUUAUAUGAUAUAUAAAUCUCAAUUUCAAUAAAUUGACCCUUAUGACUGGUUUUGUGGUCAAGGGUCACAUGUUUGAA